rnacentral:rRNA from 1 species
UACGUAGGGGGCGAGCGUUAUCCGGAAUUAUUGGGCGUAAAGAGUGCGUAGGUGGUUCUUUAAGCGAGAGGUUUAAGGCUAUGGCUUAACCAUAGUUCGCCUCCCGAACUGAAGGACUUGAGUGCAGGAGGGGAAAGCGGAAUUCCUAGUGUAGCGGUGAAAUGCGUAGAUAUUAGGAGGAACACCAGUGGCGAAGGCGGCUUUCUGGACUGAAACUGACACUGAGGCACGAAAGCGUGGGGAGC